rnacentral:rRNA from 1 species
GACAGAGGCCUCGAGCGUUAGGCGGAAUCACUGGGCUUAAAGCGUGUGUAGGCGGAUCGUUAAGUGCCUUGUGAAAUCCCACGGCUUAACUGUGGAACGGCUGGGCAUACUGGCGGUCUUGAGCCAUCUAGGGGCGACUGGAACAAACGGUGGAGCGGUGAAAUGCGUAGAUAUCUGGAGGAACACCGGUGGCGAAGGCGGCAUUCUGGACCGACAUUGACGCUGAGGAGCGAAAGCCAGGGGAGCAAACGGG